GGGCGAUUAGCUCAGGGGUAGAGCACUACCUUGACAUGGUAGGGGUCACUGGUUCGAUCCCAGUAUCGCCCA
rnacentral:tRNA from 1 species